rnacentral:lncRNA from 1 species
UCCUUUCAACCAACCAACCAACCAUAGCUACAAUGCUACCUUCUUCAACCAUAACUCAACAACCCUUUUCUUCAUGGACUCAAAGCUCAAUUCCCAUUUCAGUCUCUUUCAAAUCAAGAUUAACCUCAAUGAAUCCACAAUUUCGUGCUGCUUUGGUUGAAGCAAAACCCUCACCAAAUCCACCUCCUUUAUCAACACAACCUAAAGAUGAGUCCCUCAAGAUUCCUCCUCUUCCAAUUGAUCGUGCAGAUGAUAUUCAAGCUGAAACAAAAGCUAUGGCUCGUGCUGUUAAUGCUUCUGUAUAUACUCCCGAACUUGUUGCCUCAAGAUAUGGUUCCAAACCCUUCAAGGUUUUGUUCCGUUUCUUCCAAACUUUGAAUCUUUUUGUAUUGCUUUGAAGUAACUAACAAUGGUGUAAACAAACAUACAUUCUGUAAUUUAUGAUUUUUCUUCACACGAGUACUUGGUAAAUUUAUAGAUUUUUGUACAUACUUUGACAUACCCUUUUCUAACACUAAGACCCUAUAUUUAUACUGGAUCGAGAUAACCGUUUCUGAUGGUUCUUCAAUCACGUCGAGACACAUGGUGCCUUGCAUGUACGCAAUUAUCUACUAUGCUCCACGUGUACUCUCAACGGUUUCUGAUAAGGGCGAAGUUUCCUCUCUUAUUUGAAUUUUGAAUCUUUGAUCGAAAACCGUUUUCAACCGUUUUCUAAAAGACCUUUAUGCAGUCUCAACUGUAUGCUGAUCAUUAUCAACCCUGCCCAGUCAAAUCACCCCCAGCUGGUCGAAUACCACUUCCUGGUCGAAAAGAGCUAUACAUAUGAUUUCCUUUUUUGGUAAUUCUUAAUGGGCGUCGAAAAUAUGAGCUAACAGUAAGGACAAUGAUUUAUUGGCUUCAUCUGCUGGCAUUUGACACAAUUCCUUACAAACUCAGUGACAUCUUUGUGCAUUCCUUUCCAAAACACGUUUUCUUGUAGUCUACCAAAUGUUUUGUGUACACCAUCAUGUCCUCCUAGCAAUAUGGCGUGGAAUUCCUCCAAUAAUGUUUAGUUCUAAGGUGAUUUAUUGUGCACAAACAUUUUGUAUUUGAAAAACACCAGCUCAUUCGCAAGUUGUAAACCCUUGUAUUCCUCAGGCUUUGCUUUAAUGUCUCGUACCAAUUGUUGGAACUCAUCAUCUUGCGCUACUUGUUCCUUAAAUUUAUUAAGGAACUUCAUGUGAGUUACAGACAGAGCUAGAUAAUGGAUCCUUGAGAGAUCAUCUAUAACACCCAAAACCCCUACUCUUAAUAUAAGAGAAUUUUCACUAAUUAGGAUGCCACUCAAAACAAAACAUAUUCUUCAUAAUUUUUUUUCAAAGAGCCGUACAACCUCGGCAUAUAGUCGUACAACCCCGCCAUACAACCCCUAUUCAAUUUUUCGUUAAAAAAAUUUAAUUUUAAGAAAAAUCUGUUUUUCUGAUAUUUAGGAAAAUUUAGGAAAAACACAUAGUGAGGUUUUUGGAAAAAAAUUGGGAAUACGCAUACUAAGAUUUCUACAUAAAUAAAUUUGAGAAAACAACACGACAGGGUCGCUCCAAUUUACAUACAAAAUUCCAAAACUCUAAAAUACGAUCACAACAACAUAUGCACAAUUUCACAGUAAUAGAAUCACAAUCAACAACAAAAAUUGUUAAACCUAUAAACAAUAACACUUUAUUGACCAUCGAUGAUUUAUCCUAAAUCCCUUUUGAUUUUCAGAGAUGCCAAUAAAGUUUUACCAAACCUUAUUUGGCCAAACAAUUCAUAGAUCAUAAGAAAUAAGGGAAAAUAAAACAUUAUCCAUGACUGUUCAAUUCACCCAUCAAUAAGAAAAUUCUCCCCUUACCUUAGAAUUGCAGAGCUUCAGACUUUUGUUACAACUUCUUCUUCCUAGAGCUCUUCUUAGGGUUCCUAGCCUUCUUAUAUGUUUUUCAAUUUUUUAACGCAUCAACCUCCAUGCCAAUUCUCAUUUUCCCUAUUAUAUUACACUAAUCAAUUUAUUACAAAUGAAAACACAAUGACACAAUGUAAAUUUUAUAAAACAUCGAGAAUUAUGUAUGCAAUAUUAGGACAAAUAAACGUAAAUCAUUUUCGCCGAAUGGACUGUGCUACUUCUAAUAAUUAUGAGGUUGUGGAAAAUAUUUCCAUCAAUGCAAAUUGUAUGUUAGUCGAUGUUGCAUUUUGAAUAUAGACGAAGUCAGUGGCGGAGCCAGAUAAAAAAAUUUGGGAUGACCGUUAACGUAAAAUAAAGAUUAUAAAUAAAAUGUAAAUAGUAUUUUAAUUAAAACAUUAAAGUUAAAAUAAAUACAAAGUUAAUUACUAAAAAUUUAAAUUACAUGACUUAAAACUACCUUAAAGUAAUGCUUUACGCGUUCCGAGUGACUUGAAAUCGUCAAUAAUUGACUCCGAACUAAUGCUUGCACUAAUCUCCCUUUCAAUAUAUACUGCCAUGCUAUCUCCAAGAAACCCAUCAUACGUCUUGUUUCUCAACUUAGUCUUAAUAAUUUUCAUUGCUGAAAAAGACCUCUUAGUUGUGGCCGUAGAAACGGGAAGAGUCAUAAUAAAACGAAGUAGUCUAUCAAUCAAGAAGUAAGUUUCAGCCUAUCCAGAUGCAACCAAACAUGAACAUAGUUCUUGAAUAGUUGAUAAAUUAUUCAAGUUUGAUGCUUGACGAGCAAGAAAUAGAAAAUAUUGGAGUUGAAAUUGUAAAUUAUUCUUCUCUUGAUCACUAAAAUCCAUAGGAUAAUAUUUUUCAACUAAAGAAAAAAUAGUAUCAAUGCUAAAAGCUUUAUAUCCAUCCUUAGGAGAUAAAGAACAAGAAAGAGUUAACAAAUUCAUUGCCUACUCACUGAAUCUGCUAUUCAACUCUUGUAAUUGUUUGUCAAUGGUAGUGAAAAAGAUUUCAACUUUAAAGUAAUGUUGAAUUGUGACUUGAUUCUCUUCAAGACGGGAGCGUCCAAAUCUUGUUGUUGAAUGAACAUCAUUAAGAUCAGGAAUCUCAAUACCAUGCUUUUCACAAAAAGAUACCACUUUAGUAAACAAUAUAUCCCAACCAUUUUCUCNGUCGUAACCGAUUAUUCAUUCUUUGACUUGAACUUUGCACUUGAAUAACAUUUCUAAUAUGACCAUCUUGAUUCAACAAGUCUUGACAAGCUUUCAUUGCAUUGUUGUGUGGUGAGCAAAGAUCCUUUCCUAUGUGUUUAAGAAAGGAACGAUGUUUUCCAUUCCUAACUUUCUUCCAAUUUCUAAAACCCAUAGAAAUAAAGACAAGUGAUCUGGGACGUCCACUUAGUUUUUUGCUAAAAAGGUAACAUGGUAAGCAAUAUGCAACAUCUUCAGAUGGUAAAUAUUCUAACCAUGAUGGAAAUAUGCUUAACCAAGUAUGUUGAAACCUUCUCGGAUGAUCCUCGUUACCGGACAAAGGAUAUUUUUCUAAUGAAUUUCAUAUGGACCCCAUUUUAGACAAGCUCUUCGUAUUGCAUCCACUUGAUUUGGUGGAUAUUGCCAAACCGGAGGACGCUUUCCAGGAUCGCGUUCCAAAGAAUUUUCAAAACCAUGAUGCUCUUCAAUUGUUGGAUUCUCAAGAACUGUUUCAGAUUCGGAUGUCGGGAUUAUAAUUUCUUCAUCUCUCUCUUCUCUUUCAAUUUCACAUGCUUUCCUUUUGAAAAAAGAAUCAAUUUUCCUAUUAUUCAUCUUUACUCUUCCUAUAAUAUCAUAUCAGAUCCAAAAAUCAAUUUAGAGAACAUAAAAAUUAAAAGAGAAAAAAAUUAAUAAACUUAAUUAAUCAACUUUAAUCCGUUUUCAAAUACCGGUAACUUCACUAUUAGAAAUUAGCAGCAACAAUGAUUAAAUAAACCUUAUUACAGUGUAUAACUAUAUUUGUAAAUUACAGUGUUAUGAAUUGGCUUAAUAAACCUCAUAUAGAUUAUUUUAACACAUCAAGAAAGAAGAAUCCUAAAAAUCUCAAAAACACAAAUCAAGCAAUCACUUUAAUUUGUUACUUUUUAUAAAAGAAGAAUGAAUAAAGUUUUUUAUCUAUUAAAUACCGAUCACUUUAAUCUGUUCCGAUUCCGGUGUCGGUAGCAAACCCAUAUGAGAAAGAAAGGAAAGGUAGGAGCUUUUUACCUUAUCUAUAUUUUAACCUAACUUUGAAUGAAAAAUAAAAAAUAAAAAAUAAUUUUAAUUUAAAUUAAGGAUGUUUUUAGUAAUUUAAUAUAUAUGAAUUAAAAAAAAAAUUGAGGGGUGGCCGUGGCCUUCCCACGUCCCCCUCAGUUCCGCCACUGGACGAAGUUCAAACAUGUUAAUAAAGUCAUUUUAAUUUUUGAAAAAUGUGUUAGGUGAAAUAUUUAGACGUGUAUAUAAAGUAAUUUUUAAUUUCGAACGGUAAACUAUAUCAAAACACAACAUUGAAGCUUGAUCAAAUGAUUUCUAAACUUUAAAAAGUAUUUAAUUGUAAAGUAUGUCAAGUCACAAUAUUAAAGUGUAUUGAGCACAUAAUUUUUAAUUUUGAAAAAAACGUAAAAAUGUGUUAAGACACAAAUAACACAUGCAACUCAUUGAAUAUUCAUAAAUUUGAAAAAAAAAUUCUAUUAUCUUGAAUGCGUUAUGCAACUCAUGAUCUAUUUAAACAAGAUAUCUUAUUUAUGUUUAACUUUAUUAUCAAUAUUAUUACUUUAUAAUUUUGGUUUUUUCCUUCUAUGAUUAUUUUUCUAUAUAGGCUUGAUUAAAUAAUUCAAAAUUCUUAAAACAAAAAACCUAAACUUCACCUUAAAACAAAAAACCUAAACAUCACCUUAAAACAAGAUUUCCAUUUCAUUUUGAGACAUAACCUAAGUUUGAGACAAAUUUUGAACAAACAAGGUUGUUGAAAACUCCAAUUUUCAUAAUUUUUUUUGUCAUUCUUUUCUAACAAUUUCCAAUUAUAACUUCAUCAUUUGUUUCUUCUUUCUUUCAACCAACCAACCAACCAUAGCUACAAUGCUACCUUCUUCAACCAUAACUCAACAACCUUUUUCUUCAUGGACUCGAAGCUCAAUUCCCAUUUCAGUCUCUUUCAAAUCAAGAUUAACUUCAUUGAAUCCACAAUUUCGUGCUGCUUUAGUUGAAGCAAAACCUUCACCAAAUCCACCUCCUUUAUCAACACAACCUAAAGAUGAGUCCCUCAAGAUUCAUCCUCUUCCAAUUGAUCGUGCUGAUGAUAUUCAAGCUGAAACAAAAGCUAUGGCUCGUGC